rnacentral:sRNA from 1 species
CCUGGGGCUCGCGCCCCAGGCUGUAUGCUGUCGCUGCUUCGCAGCU